AUGGUGACUUCUUCGUCCUCUGUCAAAUGCUUACUGUUCAACAGCAACAAGGACUGCAGGGCUCAGCUGUGCCUCCUUGUUAUGACCAGUGUGUCUAAAACAGUGUAUUGCCUGCAGCCCACCUUUGCAAUAAGCAGCGGCCAGCCCACAGACACACAAACUCAGGCCACUUCUAAGAGUCUCUUAUCUGUUAGGUUCAAAGAAGUUGAUGUUUCCAAACAGCUUCAUUCAGGAGGUCCAGAGAAUGAUGUUACAAAAAUCACCAAACUGAGAUGAGAGAAUAGGCAAAUGAAAGCUACUGACACCACCACCAGAAGGAAUGUCAGAAAAGGCUACAAACCACUAAGUAAGCAAAAAUCAGAGGAAGAGCUCAAGGACAAGAACCAGCUCUUGGAAGCCGUCAACAAGCAGUUGCACCCGAGUUGACUGAAACUCAGGGAGAGCUGAAGGACCUGCCCCAGAAGGUAGAGCUGCUAGAGAAGUUUCAGGACAAUUGUUUGGCAAUUUUGGAGAGCAAGGGCCUCGAUCCAGCUUUAGGUAGUGAGACCCUGGCAUCACAACAAGAAUCCACUACUGAUCAUACGGAGUCUAUGUUGCUGUUAGAAACUUUGCAAGAGGAGCCGAAGCUUUUUAAUGAAACAGCGAAAAAGCAGAUGGAGGAAUUACAGGCCUUAAAGGUAAAGUUGGAGAUGAAAGAAGAAAGAGUCUGAUUCCUAGAACAGCAAAUCAUAUAUAACAAUCAAGUAAAUGAUUUAACAGCAGCCCUUAAGGAAAUGGAACAGCUAUUAGAAAUGUAAGAAGCGGCAAGUGGCCAGAUGGCUCCCUCUUGGGCAUAAACUCUCGGAGGAAGCCACUUAGAACAUCUUCUUGGCCAUGAUCUUCUGGGACUCACCAUCUCCAGAAUGAAAACAGUUUCUACACUAGAAUUAAGUACAGUUUAUGCUGAAAUGACCAUUCCUCAUUUAAGCAAGUUUUUUCAACCUUCAGGUUGGUCAGCCCUCCUGAGCCUCACAGGUGGAUAAUUGAGGCCUAUAAGAGUGGGGGCGCCUAGGAGCUUGGAUUGACCUUCUAGGCAACCACCUGAUUCCAGCACACCAUUAGAAUCGGGAGACUACUAACCACCAACAACCAGAAGAUCUAAAACGUCACAUUCAGAUUUUCGGGAAGAAAAUAUUCAUUACAGUAGAGCACAAGUGUUCCAUGGGAGACAUCAUAGAGCCAUGCUGUCCCCUUCUAACCUGGAACACAUUCUGUCUAGUCCUGGUAGAGGUCUGUGCCUCCUUAUUAAUUUAUGAACUUGAAGUUGCUUGAAGUGUUUUGGGCUUAACAAAUGGGGUGAAAGUAUCGGUAGUAAUAACACCUACAUGAAACAAUA